rnacentral:rRNA from 1 species
GAUGAACGCUAGCGGCAGGCCUAAUACAUGCAAGUCGAACAGGAUUGCGGUAGUAGCUUGCUACUACUGCAUGAGAGUGGCGCACGGGUGCGUAACGCGUGAGCAACCUACCCAUAUCAGGGGGAUAGCCCGGCGAAAGUCGGAUUAACACCGCAUAACAUCAACAGUUCGCAUGUUCAGUUGAUUAAAUAUUUAUAGGAUAUGGAUGGGCUCGCGUGACAUUAGCUAGUUGGUAGGGUAACGGCUUACCAAGGCAACGAUGUCUAGGGGCUCUGAGAGGAGAAUCCCCCACACUGGUACUGAGACACGGACCAGACUCCUACGGGAGGCAGCAGUAAGGAAUAUUGGUCAAUGGGCGCAAGCCUGAACCAGCCAUGCCGCGUGCAGGAGGACUGCCCUAUGGGUUGUAAACUGCUUUUAUCAGGGAAUAAACCCCUUUACGAGUAGAGGGUUGAAUGUACCUGAAGAAUAAGGAUCGGCUAACUCCGUG